rnacentral:ncRNA from 2 species
GGGUGCACGCUCCAUUCCGGAGUGGGGCAGGAUGCGCGAUGGUCGGGCCGCCACG